rnacentral:rRNA from 1 species
UACGGAGGGUGCAAGCGUUGUUCGGAAUCACUGGGCGUAAAGCGAGUGUAGGCGGCUUGAUAAGUCGGGUGUGAAAGCCCAGGGCUCAACCCUGGAACUGCGCCCGAUACUGUCAUGGCUUGAGUACGGGAGAGGGUUGCGGAAUUGUCGGUGUAGAGGUGAAAUUCGUAGAUAUCGGCAAGAACACCAGCGGCGAAGGCGGCAACCUGGACCGAUACUGACGCUCAGACUCGAAAGCGUGGGGAGCAAACAGG